GGAAGGUGGUGGGUGACUCAAAUGCCAGUCGGCUGCGUGCCCCCGCGCUUAGAUGAGUCUGGGAUUCUGGGCAGUUGGGACUUUCUUUUCAGGAAAGGAGGUGAGAGGUGCCGGGGAAGCCCACACGAGCAGCCACUCUUGGAGAAAUGGGGAAUGGCGCUGUAAAAGCGCAGGCCCUCCUCCUCCUCCUUUCUCCCCAUCACACAAAAAGGAUGGGCCUUGAAAGGGAUGAGUUUAUUAUGCACUUUUAAAUGCCUAUUCAGAAAAGAACAGGAGGCAAAAAUAAAGAUGCUUCCCACCCCACCAAUUCCCUUCCCUCGAAGAAAAAAGGAAAGAGAAAGCAACCCACAAAGACAGGGUUCUGACUAUGUUGCUGAGGCUGGAGUGCAGUGGCUGUUCACAGAUGCAAUCCCACUACGAAUCAGUGCAGGAGUUUUCACCUGCACCAUUUCCAACCUGAGCCGGUUCACCCCUCCUUGGGCAACCCGGUGGUCCCCUGCUCUCAGGUGGUCACCAUAUUGAUGUCAAACUUAGUGCGGACACCCAAUUGGAAUAGCACACUACAUCCUAGAACUCCUGGGCUCAAGCAAUCCUCCCUCCUCAGCCAACUGAAUUGCUGGGGCUGCACUUGCUGGCUACCUUUUUCCUUUUUGAAGGCUCUCUUGCUUCUCCCUUUAGUCGUAAAUGUGGGUGCUAUUGGACAAUUCACUCUACUUCUUCAGUAUUUAAGACCUGGAACCACUUUGAAGCCCAAAGUCUUGUAAGUUGUUAUGUAAAUAAAUAUCAUAAAAAGCAACUAACCUAUUAGAAAAGAAUACAGAACAUUUUAAAUACAGUUGUCCUUUGUCUGAGACUUAAGUGACAAUUGCUGCAACUGCUUUCAGAUUCUACUUCUGUCAGCAACAUUGUUUUCUUUUACAAGUCCUCUGUGAUCCAACUGCUUUAUAAGAUACUCAACAACUCCAGGUAUACACAGUGAUUUUGCAGGCCCCUACCCCACAGGGGACACCAUGAUUUACCCAAUUAGGCAGCUGAGUGUCCCGAUCGCAGGUGGCUAGUGGUGAAAGGGAUUUUUGUGAGGGACCCAUAUUCCUACAUCAACACUUAUAACCUACUUCAGGAAGCACACCAUACCAUUUCUGGUUAACCUUAAAACAAUCACAUUAAAAUAAAGAGGACUGUCAGUAGAGCAAUUUUAUAAAUAGCUAAAAUUAAACAGAGCAAGACUGGCGAUGCUAAUGCAUAAGCAAAGAACUGACUUCCUGCAUUUCAUCGAGAAUUCC
rnacentral:lncRNA from 1 species